rnacentral:rRNA from 1 species
GAUGAACGCUGGCGGCGUGCCUAAUACAUGCAAGUCGAGCGAACAGACGAGGAGCUUGCUCCUUCGACGUUAGCGGCGGACGGGUGAGUAACACGUAGGUAACCUACCUAUAAGACUGGGAUAACUUCGGGAAACCGGAGCUAAUACCGGAUAAUAUUUCGAACCGCAUGGUUCGAUAGUGAAAGAUGGCUUUGCUAUCACUUAUAGAUGGACCUGCGCCGUAUUAGCUAGUUGGUAAGGUAACGGCUUACCAAGGCAACGAUACGUAGUCGACCUGAGAGGGUGAUCGGCCACACUGGAACUGAGACACGGUCCAGACUCCUACGGGAGGCAGCAGUAGGGAAUCUUCCGCAAUGGGCGAAAGCCUGACGGAGCAACGCCGCGUGAGUGAUGAAGGUCUUCGGAUCGUAAAACUCUGUUAUUAGGGAAGAACAAACGUGUAAGUAACUGUGCACGUCUUGACGGUACCUAAUCAGAAAGCCACGGCUAACUACGUG